rnacentral:rRNA from 1 species
CAGUCGCCGCGGUAAUACGAGGGGGGCAAGCGUUGUUCGGAAUUAUUGGGCGUAAAGGGUGCGUAGGCGGUUUGACAAGUCAUCUGUGAAAUCUAUGGGCUCAACCCAUAGUCUGCAGGCGAAACUGUCGGGCUUGAGUAUGGGAGAGGUGAGUGGAAUUUCCGGUGUAGCGGUGAAAUGCGUAGAUAUCGGAAGGAACACCUGUGGCGAAAGCGGCUCACUGGACCAUAACUGACGCUGAGGCACGAAAGCUAGGGGAGCAAACAGGAUUAGAUACCCCCGUAGUCCCUGUCUCUUAUAC